ACCCGGAUUUGCUGUGCGCGUCCUUCUCACGCCUCCUCGCCCUCUUCCAAUCGAACGAUCCUUCUUCCCCUAACCUUAGAAGACAGCAACGCUUUCGGUUCUGGAGGAAUUAAGCCACCUUGGAACUCUCGUUACAUACUUUAGCACGCCGAGGCAAGGAAAGUGUCAUCCGCGGGACCGCCUUCAACAUCCAAUUCUGAAAUAUCGUCAGAUUUUGGCAUUCGGAUGCAUCCAGGGCACGGAGCGUUGCCGAUCCGAGCGAUUACCAGAUUCACCGUUUGAAGACUCCCAAGGGCUUCGUUUCGUUGACGAUGCCAUUGAAAGGGCGCGCAAUUUUCAGUCUCCCGCGAGAGCGUUGUUGAUCGGGGCGAUUACCAGAGUUACUGUAUGAAGACUGCCAAGGGCUUCGUUUGGUCGACGAGGCCAUUGAAAGGUAUGAUGAAAUGGUUAAUUACAUAGGUGGAAUACCUUCUUCUGCUGAAAUUGUUCGAGCCAAGGAUUAAAUUUCAGGUACUGUAGGCUCUUCCUUCACGAUUAUAUUUUGGUGGUUCUGUUUGUAGUUCAAUUUUUUCUUCCAUUAUACAUUUAUUUAAAUUUCCCUUUUAGAUGACUUUGCUUUUUAUUUUUUAUGUCGUCUCGACUCUCAUCAGUGCUUCUGUCUAUGUGACAUCUACAUGCAUUCCAAUGUAUCUAAAUGUCAUAUUUGAUGUCCUAUCAUUUGGCAGAAAAUGUCUGUGAGGGGUUGAUGGGCUGUGAUUUCUUUGUGUGGAUAAUUAGAUUGAUCUGAGGCUGAAAGAAUUUCAUUGAAUCAAGGCUAUAUUCUCCUGUCACUUAAUUAUUUUUUAAGCCAGUUAUUGCAUAAUUAGUAAGAGAGUCCAACAAGUCAAUAUCCUUGAACCAGAAUUUCUUUAUGAUUAUUAAUCUGUUACACUUGUUCUUCAUGAAAAUGAAAAACCAAAUGAAUAAUGUGAUCAACAUUUGGCUUACCACUAGACAAUUAACAUAUGGGACUGAACAUCCACUGUGAUUGAGAUAGUACAAGGUACCAUGAGCUAAUUUGUAUUAGUUGUACUUAGUUUGCAGCUCAAAGAAAAAUUGUAUGAGAAUAUGUUCUUACAAUGUUGAAUUCCAAUUCAUUUUCUCCCCUAAA